rnacentral:rRNA from 1 species
UACGUAGGGUGCAAGCGUUAAUCGGAAUUACUGGGCGUAAAGCGUGCGCAGGCGGCUUUGCAAGACAGAUGUGAAAUCCCCGGGCUCAACCUGGGAACUGCAUUUGUGACUGCAUGGCUAGAGUACGGUAGAGGGGGAUGGAAUUCCGCGUGUAGCAGUGAAAUGCGUAGAUAUGCGGAGGAACACCGAUGGCGAAGGCAAUCCCCUGGGCCUGUACUGACGCUCAUGCACGAAAGCGUGGGGAGCAAACAGG